CCAUGGGACUGAGGUGUUUGUUUUGUUCUGUUUUUUAUACUCCCCUGUUUGUCCUCAUUAAGUCCUUUGAAUAUGAAGCUCUGUGUCACCUCCUUUAUGAUUAUGAGAAGUGGGCCAUUCAGGACUUUCUGUCAAUCUCACGGCAUAAUGUGGUAAGCUUCUCAAGUCCUAUGGAAUAAGAGAGAAUGAAUAAAUGAAGACCGAGAAUGAAGGUAAAGCUUUAACCUACACAGUUGGUCAGAUGGCAACUUAACUCCUGGUGUCCCAGAAAGACCACUUACCUGGGAGUCAAGAGCUGCAACCUGAUGUUUGACCUUGUCUUUGAAAUGUUGACCAACUGACCUUGAUUCCAAGGACCUUGAUUCUAAGACAUGUGCUCCCCUCUGAAGUGUGGUAUAAAGGAGGAGGGAACCAAGGGCAUCUGGUCAAAAAGCUCUUUGAUGGAGGUGGGAAGGAUAGACGUACUUGUGUUUUAUUAUGAUUAGAAUCCAGAAUGUUCUGAAAUGUACUAAAAAUAAAUGUCUUUUAGCAGCCCCUUUGCUGGGGAAGGCCGAUUUUUGAAAGAACUUGGGAGAGAAUGUUUGGGUGAACUUGUAUACCGUACCAUAAAUAUUUUUGCUAAAAUUAUAGAAUUGUCUGUUUCCUUUCAAAUUGCAUCAGGACCCAGGCAAGAGCGAUGAGUUUUUAAUGUGGAAAUUUCAUGUGCACGUUUCGGCUUCUUCCUUUUCUUCUUCAGCUUUGCCAAGUCUCACUUUAUGUUUCGUAAAGAUUGAUUUAUUGGUGCUUUUUUGGCCUACCUGCUGUGUUAUGCAAUUCCUCACCAAAUUCAGAGACACGACCAUCAGUUUGCAAACUUGUUUAGUUGCAGCCAAAAAGAGGUUUGUUUAUUAGAAUUCAAGCUGAUUUAUUUGCUGUGCUGAAUGAUUUUUGCAUCGCCUAAAGCCUGAACCUUCUC